AGCUCCAAUAGCGUAUAUUAAAGUUGUUGCAGUUAAAAAGCUCGUAGUUGGAUCUCGGGUCUAGGCUUGCGGUUCGCCUCGCGGCGGUUACUGCUCGUCCUGGCCUACCUCCCGGUUUUCCCUUGGUGCUCUUAAGUGAGUGUCUCGGGUGGCCGGAACGUUUACUUUGAAAAAAUUAGAGUGUUCAAAGCAGGCAUUCUGCCUGAAUAAUGGUGCAUGGAAUAAUGGAAUAGGACCUCGGUUCUAUUUUGUUGGUUUUCGGAACUUGAGGUAAUGAUUAAGAGGGACAGACGGGGGCAUUCGUAUUACGGUGUUAGAGGUGAAAUUCUUGGAUCGCCGUAAGACGAACAACUGCGAAAGCAUUUGCCAAGAAUGUUUUCAUUA
rnacentral:rRNA from 1 species